UACGUAGGGAGCGAGCGUUGUCCGGAAUUACUGGGCGUAAAGGGCGAGUAGGCGGCAACUCAAGUAGGGUGUGAAAGCCCCCGGCUUAACCGGGGAGGGACGCUCUAAACUGGGUAGCUAGAGUGCAGUAGAGGCUAACAGAAUUCCCGGUGUAGUGGUGAAAUGCGUAGAUAUCGGGAGGAAUACCAGUGGCGAAGGCGGUUAGCUGGACUGUAACUGACGCUGAGGCGCGAAGGCUAGGGUAGCAAACAGG
rnacentral:rRNA from 2 species